UUGGAGGGCAAGUCUGGUGCCAGCAGCCGCGGUAAUUCCAGCUCCAAUAGCGUAUAUUAAAGUUGUUGCCGUUAAAAAGCUCGUAGUUGAACCUUGGACCUGGCUGAUCUGUCCUCCUAAUCGAGCGCACGGAUUCGGUCGGGUCUUUCCUUCUGGCUAGCCCUAUGCCCUUCACUGGGUGUAGUGGGGAACCAGGACUUUUACCUUGAAAAAAUUAGAGUGUUCAAAGCAGGCCUUUGCUCGAAUACAUUAGCAUGGAAUAAUAGAAUAGGACAUCGGUUCUAUUUUGUUGGUUUCUAGGACCGCUGUAAUGAUUAAUAGGGAUAGUCGGGGGCGUCAGUAUUCAAUUGUCAGAGGUGAAAUUCUUGGAUUUAUUGAAGACUAACUACUGCGAAAGCAUUCGCCAAGGAUGUUUUCAUUAAUCAGUGAACGAAAGUUAGGGGAUCGAAGACGAUCAGAUACCGUCGUAGUCUUAACCAUAAACUAUGCCGACUAGGGAUCGGACGGUGGUUUUUUUAUGCCCCGUUCGGCGCCUUACGGGAAAC
rnacentral:rRNA from 1 species